rnacentral:lncRNA from 1 species
UGCGUACUUUGCAGUUUCCUUUUCAAAAUCUAAUCGUGUACUGUACUGACUUUCUCCUCAGGUUAAGCUGGCCAGAAGUAACAUCAUACUGAACCUAAGGAGAAAUAACUUAAAAUGCCAGAACAGGUGACAGCUGACGUACGUGAAUGCCAAUGUAGAGGAAGUGACCGACACCUUGAGCAAGAUGUAACACCCAGCAUGUUACUUAAGCCUUCUUAGGUGGUUGGUGUACAAGAUAGAUGGACCAGACACAACAAGGUGACCACGACUGUCUAGCAUCC